UGGCGACCGGCGCACGGGUGAGUAACACGUAUCCAACCUGCCGAUGACUCGGGGAUAGCCUUUCGAAAGAAAGAUUAAUACCCGAUGGCAUAGUUCUUCCGCAUGGUAGAACUAUUAAAGAAUUUCGGUCAUCGAUGGGGAUGCGUUCCAUUAGGUAGUUGGUGAGGUAACGGCCCACCAAGCCUACGAUCGGUAGCCGGACUGAGAGGUUGAUCGGCCACAUUGGGACUGAGACACGGUCCAAACUCCUACGGGAGGCAGCAUG
rnacentral:rRNA from 1 species